rnacentral:lncRNA from 1 species
AGAGAGCCCGGCUAUGAUGCUAUUAAAAGUACUAAACACUUGGUGCUUGCAUGUUUUCCACCGUUAGAUCUAUUUCUUUAAUCAAUUCCAACUCUUAGAUCAUGCUAUUUCACCAAACAACCUCUGAAUAUCUGAGUUUUCAGUUGGUUUUGGAGUGUAAUAAAGGAUUUGUGUUUUCUUGAAAUAAAAAAAUGGUUUUCUACCCAUCGUGGUAGCGUUUUAAAAAAAGAUAAAAGUUCAUGUGUAGGAACAGUUUUCAAAAGGUUUUCUAUGGAUUUUGCAUCUUAGUAUUUCAAAACUUGUUUCUGUGGUUGGAAACAUUUUAACUGAUAGAUGUGGAUUUAUAUUUAAUAUUGAAUGUAAAAAUGUGAACCUGUGGUGAAUGGUGUAUGAAUAUAUAACUGUUGUUAUUUGUAUGUUCAUCUGGUUGUGGUUGUAUCAUGUUUGAACUCUUGUACUUGUGCGCCGCCGUGCAAAUACAGGGGAGACUCUGUCCGUGUGAACAGUGGAUCUUCUGUAUUUGUGGCGGAUCUGGCAUACCCUGGGGUCAGGUUUU